AGGCACUUUCAAUACCAGGAGCCUCCCACAAUGGUGCAGUCAUGGUCGCACAAACUGCUUGAUGGUUGCAAAAACUGCUGUUUUAUGUCUAAGAUUUUAUUAUUAAAACAAAAGAUGAAUAAAAGACAAAAGGUUUUUUGUUUGUUUUUUGAAAAAA